UUCUGGUAAAUUGACAUUCGUAUCAUUAUAAUGUUUCCAAAGCAUCCCUAGCUGUCUUUUGUUUUAGUUUUUCUAGAUCCACCUUUUGUUUUAGUUUUUCUAGAUCCACCUCAUGUAUACGUUCCGAAAUAGUAGCUCGUUCAAAAACUUGGCCAGCUUUAAAAGCACCAAAAAUAGCUAUGCAAGUGUAGUGAUGUGACCAGAAAGAAAUAUAUCCAUGUUUAAUUAAACUUUUU
rnacentral:lncRNA from 1 species